rnacentral:lncRNA from 1 species
CGCCAACUCGCCCCUCCCACCCACAUCCCUCUCAUCUUCUUGUAUUCCCGCAGCAACGAAGUUUCACAGUCUGAACCUAGCCGUGUAGAGUAGGUAAAAGUAUAACGUGGCAGGUUAGAUCAUGCUUUCUAUCACCCCAGCUGGGCUCGCUUACCACGCGGAAAAGAACAAACAAGAGAGCAUUAAUAUCAGUUGCAGCAUAACAACUGGAUG